GCCUACUUAACUCAACGGUUAGAGUAUUGUCUUCACACGGCGGGAGUUGUUGGUUCAAAUCCAAUAGCAAACA
rfam:Beta vulgaris subsp. vulgaris Bvchr6.sca004.con0253.1, whole genome shotgun sequence.